rnacentral:lncRNA from 1 species
UUCAUCUGGCAAAUACAUUACCUAACUUGGAUAGUGACUGUUUUAGAUACAAAGCUCAAGGGAAACCUUGCAAAGAGGUGCCAUUUGAACAAAAACCUGGAUGAAGUCAGGGAGUGAACAUUGCUACGCUCUGGGAGAAGAGUCUUUCAGAAGGAACAACUGCUCCAAAAGCCCCAAGGGGUCCAAGACCAAGAGCGAACCUGCAUGCCGAGGCAUAUUGCACAGGAUUAAAAGAAGAGGCAGGAAAUAAAGGAAAUGAGUCCUAAAGCGUGGUCUCUAAAGCCUUCUGUUUUAAGUCUCAUAUAACUUGUCUGCUUAUUUAUUAUCAAUGGUUCUUAACUUUGAGGGGAGAGGAGUGGUCAUGGAUUUCUUUGAGAAUCUAAUGAAAGCUAUG